AGCGGCAAUAACGCGUGUGCCCGGGCCGCCCGUGGGGCUGCGGGUGAGCCAGGCCCGUGAGGAGUCCUCCCGCACCAUCGGUCACCGUGGCACAGUGCCCCUGCUCCGCCCUGCCUGUGAGAAACACAAAGCAGACUGGAGUCCUUGCAGAAGCCAGCAUCAUUAUUGACUGUAGCCAUUUUGUGAUGAUUUCAGCAUGUGCCUGAAACCCCCGUAUGCCUGAAAGAUGGAUUUUGAUGCUGAAGAAGGCAAAUGCUUUCGCUAUGAAACACCCCUGCCUCAUUCUAAACCAUCACUCGCCCUUUCCAAAACUGCAGAUUUUGCUGACAUGUCUACUUCCAAGUGAUAAACACUUUCAAAGCAGUUUGAACCCACUACUUUUCCUGCAUGGGACUACCAUGUGCAGACUACCGAGCCUGAGGAAGUGUAAAAUACACAUUACUGGAUCCACCAAAACCACAUUUAAGACAACUACAUCCCAACAUGUCCUGUGGGGUUCAGUUCAGUCCUAAUGCAGGGAGGACUUACAAUGAAAACACAAAGUAGUUAUAUAUCAGUUAAUUUAUGUUUAUCAGUGGCCGCUAUCUUAGCUUCAUACAAUAAAUUCUAGUGACUGACUUGUUCCAAGAGGAGCAGAGCCGCUGGACAGAAUGACCACUGACCUUUAUUUCAUGAACUUAUAAUGCAAUUAUAAGCUUAAAAUACCCUUUAAUUUGCUUUCAAAUUUCAACAACAACAGUUUGCCUCUUUCCCACAGCUUUCCUGUGGAUGUGGGAGCCUUCUGAGGGUGAGUGAAUGGAAAAACAACAACAGUAUUCACAAAUUUAGACUUGCCUCUGGCAAAAACUCACUACGUAAUACAGAUCGUAGGUACCGCUGCUAUUAAGUGCUUGUAAGAGUGGGCUUUUGACCCACAGUGUCAUCAGGACAGAAGAACUCUCGAGGAAAGAAUAAGAUGGUUUUGACAAUGUGAAU